rnacentral:rRNA from 1 species
CCUACGGGUGGCUGCAGUGGGGACUAUUGGUCAAUGGGCGCAAGCCUGACCCAGCAACGCCGCGUGAAGGAAGAAUGCUUUCCGGUUGUAAACCUCUUUUCUCAGAGACGAAGCAAGUGACGGUACCUCAGGAAUAAGCCACGGCUAACUACGUGCCAGCAGCCGCGGUAAUACGGAGGUGGCGAGCGUUAUCCGGAUUUACUGGGUGUAAAGGGCGUGUAGGCGGGUACGCAAGUCAGAUGUGAAAACGACGGGCUAAACCUGUGGACUGCAUUUGAAACUGUGUUUCUUGAGGACUGGAGAGGCAGACGGAAUUCCUGGUGUAGCGGUGAAAUGCGUAGAUAGUAGGAGGAACACCAGUGGCGAAGGCGGUCUGCUGGACAGCAACUGACGCUGAGGCGCGAAAGCGUGGGGAGCAAACAGGAUUAGAUACCCGAGUAGUC